CAGACCUCUAGGCAUGUUUGUGUGGGCUUAUCUUGACUGCAUUCACUGAAAUGGGAAGAUGCAUCCUCUGCUGAUGGCUGCUGUGGAUAUCGCUCUGUGUAAAUAAAAUGCUGAUUGGCCAGUAGCCAGGCAGGAAGUAUAGGCGGGAUAAGCAGAGAAGAGAAUUCUGGGAACAGGAAGGCUGAGUCUCAGAGACGCUGCCAGCCACCACCAUAACAAGCAAGAUGUAAGGUACCGACACCAGAGGGCAACACGGAAGUAAAGACUUCAUUCAAAAGCCAAGGUCGAAGAAGGAAGCAGUGCCAGCAGUCCAGCCUACCCUCAGACACCCUGCGCUUCCUCUGGAGGCAUUUCCUGGUUUUGAAGAAACAGCAGACAGGCUGAGAACCUGCACAGAGCUGAGGGACAGAAGUCAGCAUGUAAGGGGUGUUGAGGAAGAGAGGUCCUGCUAAGACCACCUGGCUGAAAGUGGAGACCUUUAAAGAAGAAAUUGUCCCAAAUUGUCUCACAGAAGCUUUGUGCAAAGGGAAGAAGAGACUCUUGAUCACAUUAACUCAAAUGAAGAGAGGUGUGCAUAAAUCUAUGUGUAAGGGACACGUGACUCUGACAGGACAAAGCAUGGGUAAGGAGCCACCUCCUCUGAGAGAACUGGAAUGGCAGGUUAGAGCAGGACCCGAAUCUCCUGAAAAUUGGAUGUUGUCAGACACUGAAGGCUCCAUGGGUGAUUGUUUUGUUACUUGUUUCCUCUCUUAUUUGCUUGCCUAAAAUCCUGAGAUGUUACUUUAUUUUUUUCCCAUGUCCCAGACUAAUUAAUA